rnacentral:rRNA from 1 species
AGUGAACGCUGGCGGUAGGCCUAACACAUGCAAGUCGAACGGCAGCACAGGAGAGCUUGCUCUCUGGGUGGCGAGUGGCGGACGGGUGAGGAAUACAUCGGAAUCUACCUUUUCGUGGGGGAUAACGUAGGGAAACUUACGCUAAUACCGCAUACGACCUACGGGUGAAAGUGGGGGACCGCAAGGCCUCACGCGAUUAGAUGAGCCGAUGUCCGAUUAGCUAGUUGGCGGGGUAAUGGCCCACCAAGGCGACGAUCGGUAGCUGGUCUGAGAGGAUGAUCAGCCACACUGGAACUGAGACACGGUCCAGACUCCUACGGGAGGCAGCAGUGGGGAAUAUUGGACAAUGGGCGCAAGCCUGAUCCAGCCAUACCGCGUGGGUGGAGAAGGCCUUCGGGUUGUAAAGCCCUUUUGUUGGGAAAGAAAUCCUAUCGGUUAAUAACCGGUGGGGAUGACGGUACCCAAAGAAUAAGCACCGGCUAACUUCGUGCCAGCCGCCGCAGUAACAC